UACGAAGGGGGCUAGCGUUGCUCGGAAUCACUGGGCGUAAAGGGCGCGUAGGCGGCCUGAUCAGUCGGGGGUGAAAGCCUGUGGCUCAACCACAGAAUGGCCUCGAUACUGUCAGGCUUGAGACCGGAAGAGGUAAGUGGAACUGCGAGUGUAGAGGUGAAAUUCGUAGAUAUUCGCAAGAACACCAGUGGCGAAGGCGGCUUACUGGUCCGGAUCUGACGCUGAGGCGGCGAAAAGCGUGGGGAGCAAACAGG
rnacentral:rRNA from 1 species